GGCCGGAUAGCUUAGAAAUCAAAGCUUUUCCGAUUAAUGGAAGCGACCCAGGUUCGACUCUUGGUCCAGCCG
rnacentral:tRNA from 1 species